UUUUCACCUGCCAAAAACGAAAAACACUAUUGAAUAGGCAAUGUAAAGUGCAGUAGUUUGUGAGUAAGAUUUUGCAGGUGUGAUCGUAUAUUGUGGCUAGGCAAAGGAAUAAAACAACUACAAUAUGGACAUGCAGAAAUUAAGUUCUUGGAUCAUAGACCAGUUAGUUCAGCCUUCUUGGUUGAAGUUGAAGUAUUCGACCAUCGCAAGCUAAAGAGAGAUCUAAAUUUCACUAGGGCAGCAGUACACCCAGAGAUCUUCCUUGAUGAAGAUGGAGAAAUAUAAUCAUGUUAGACAUUCAUCGUAGCACUACCAUAUUAAAUACUGGGUGUUAAAAUCAUGGUUGUCAUUGAAGUCAUGUUGCAAAUGAGAGACAACUAAACUGGAGUACUCUCUUCUAAACUGAGCCUCAACAUAUCAAAUUUAAGGAGCACUCUUCUCAAGUUAGCUAAGAGCGAAGAAUCCAUUGUGAGCGUGGAGGGCAUGACAAGUGAAAAGCUGGCUGGACCAAAUCUGAACUCUUUAUGUGGAUUUGAGGUCAUAGAUAAGAUAAAGUAUUUGGUUAAAGAAGAAUGUCCUAUUACUGUUUCAUGUGUUGACAUCCUUGCCAUGGCUGCACGUGAUGUUGUUGAAUUGGUAAACACUAGGGGUCAAAUGAAUGUAUUUAUAUUUUUAUUUUUAUUUGCUUUACAAAAAUUUCUAUCAUUCGUUUUUGAAGAGAGGAGGACCAAGAUGGGAUGCCUUGCUUGGAAGGAAGGAUGCUCUCGAGUCAAGUUUCAGUGGAGCUAACAUAUUAAUUCCUGCUCCAAAUUCAUCUUUGGAGGUUCUCAUAGAUAAUUUCAAGCAACAAGGCCUCGACAUAGAAUACUUGGUAACUCUAUCUGUGGAUGGUUGGCUUAAUUGUUGAGUUCUGCCUAUACGUCUGGCUCCCCCAACAUGGAAGAUAUUCAAGCCUUCUCUGCAACAUAUAGAGCAAAAUUGGAUGAAGUAGAACUUGCCAAAUCUGUUCCUGACAAUAUAUGUUGGAGGUGGUGGCUGCCCCCAAAAACACGACAAAGAUAGCUAAUAGCCAAACAAAGCAUCUCAAGGAAGCUAACAUGGUGCAUUUUAACCACAAACCCCAACGCUCCUCCGCCAUGGUCUAGACCACAACCCCAAACCCCAAUGCUCUUUCUGCCACACCUCAAACCCAAUGUCAUCAACACCCACACUCACUCCGACCCCAAUGGAAUUCAACAAAGAAGACAUCAAAAUGCAAGAGAGGGGUUCAUACCUUCGAAUGAUGAGAGUAAUAUGGUGGAGAAGUUCAGACUUCAACGUCGAUGGGGGAACGAUGGUCUUGAGAAGACGAUGGUGAUGAAAGGUUCAAUACGACGAGGUUUAAAGCUAGGUAAGGCACGAGAGUAUUUCAGACACUUAAUUAGGUGAGA